rnacentral:rRNA from 1 species
UCCUACGGGGGGCAGCAGUAGGGAAUUUUCGUCAAUGGGCGCAAGCCUGAACGAGCAAUGCCGCGUGAACGAGGAAGGUCUUCGGAUCGUAAAGUUCUGUUGAAGGGGAAAAAGAGCGGAGAGAGGAAAUGGUCUCCGAUUGAUAUUACCCUUCGAGGAAGUCACGGCUAACUACGUGCCAGCAGCCGCGGUAAUACGUAGGUGGCGAGCGUUAUCCGGAAUGAUUGGGCGUAAAGGGAGCGUAAGCGGCCUGCUAAGUCUGGAGUGAAAGGUACCGGCUCAACCGGUGCAGGCUCUGGAAACUG